rnacentral:rRNA from 1 species
AGUGAACGCUGGCGGUAGGCCUAACACAUGCAAGUCGAACGGCAGCACAGUAAGAGCUUGCUCUUACGGGUGGCGAGUGGCGGACGGGUGAGGAAUACAUCGGAAUCUACUUUUUCGUGGGGGAUAACGUAGGGAAACUUACGCUAAUACCGCAUACGACCUACGGGUGAAAGCAGGGGAUCUUCGGACCUUGCGCGAUUGAAUGAGCCGAUGUCGGAUUAGCUAGUUGGCGGGGUAAAGGCCCACCAAGGCGACGAUCCGUAGCUGGUCUGAGAGGAUGAUCAGCCACACUGGAACUGAGACACGGUCCAGACUCCUACGGGAGGCAGCAGUGGGGAAUAUUGGACAAUGGGCGCAAGCCUGAUCCAGCCAUACCGCGUGGGUGAAGAAGGCCUUCGGGUUGUAAAGCCCUUUUGUUGGGAAAGAAAAGCAGCAGGGUAAUACCCCGCUGUUCUGACGGUACCCAAAGAAUAAGCACGGGCUAACUUCGUG